rnacentral:Y_RNA from 1 species
GGCUGGUCGCCAGGGAGUGAGUUACCUCACCUGAUCGUUCACAGCCGGUCACAGACUGAACUCCUUGUUCUAUUUUUACCCAUCUUCUCACUAAGCACUUGACUAGGUUUAA